rnacentral:rRNA from 1 species
UACGAAGGGGGCUAGCGUUGCUCGGAAUUACUGGGCGUAAAGCGCACGUAGGCGGUCUUUUAAGUCGGGGGUGAAAUCCUGGAGCUCAACUCCAGAACUGCCUUCGAUACUGGAAGACUCGAGUCCGGGAGAGGUGAGUGGAACUGCGAGUGUAGAGGUGAAAUUCGUAGAUAUUCGCAAGAACACCAGUGGCGAAGGCGGCUCACUGGCCCGGUACUGACGCUGAGGUGCGAAAGCGUGGGGAGCAAACA